CACGUAGGGCGCAAGCGUUGUCCGGAAUUAUUGGGCGUAAAGAGCUCGUAGGUGGUUUGCCACGUCCGCUGUGAAAACCCAAGGCUUAACCUUGGGCUUGCAGUGGAUACGGGCAGACUAGAGGUAGGUAGGGGAGAAUGGAAUUCCCGGUGUAGCGGUGAAAUGCGCAGAUAUCGGGAGGAACACCGGUGGCGAAGGCGGUUCUCUGGGCCUUACCUGACACUGAGGAGCGAAAGCGUGGGGAGCGAACAGG
rnacentral:rRNA from 1 species